CGUGAUGAUGUCACAAUCGCGGCGGGCCCCGGCGUUCCCGGGUCGGCUUCGGGCGCAGAUCCGAGCGGGCAGCGGGCUCCUGAGUCAUGGACUUCCCUUGGCCCCUCCUCUACCACUCCCACCGCCGCGCCGGGCCCCCCCGCAGGGGCUAGCGCUCGCGCGGCGGCUCCGAGGGGGUGGGGCUGCUGGGAAUGGCUGUGCCCCCUUCGGCUCCUCUGCCGUGCUCGCCCUUUUACCUGAGGCGGCAGGCGCCGUGCCCGCAGUGCUCAUGGGGCAUGGAGGAGAAGGCGGCGGCCGGCGCGGGCUGCCGGGAGCCGCCGGGCGCCCCGAGGGCCGCCGCCGUCCCUUGCUUCGGCAUAUCCGUGGACCAGGACGACAUCCUCCCGGGCGCCCUGCGCCUCAUCCAGGAGCUGCGGCCACAUUGGAAGCCCGAGCAAGUUCGGACUAAGCGCUUCACCGAUGGCAUCACCAACAAGCUGGUGGCCUGCUACGUGGAGGAGGACAUGGGGGACUGUGUGCUGGUCCGGGUGUACGGGGAGCGGACGGAGCUGCUGGUGGACCGGGAGAAUGAGGUCAGGAACUUCCAGCUGCUGCGAGCACAUGGCUGCGCCCCCAAACUCUACUGCACCUUCCAGAACGGGCUGUGCUACGAGUACAUGCGGGGCAUGGCCCUGGGGCCCGAGCACAUCCGGGAGCCUCGGCUCUUCAGGCUAAUCGCCUUAGAAAUGGCAAAGAUUCACACCAUCCACGCCAACGGCAGCCUGCCCAAGCCCACCCUCUGGCACAAGAUGCACAAUUAUUUCACCCUCGUGAAGAACGAGAUCAACCCCAGCCUUUCUGCAGAUGUCCCCACGGUGGAGGUGUUGGAACGGGAGCUGGCCUGGCUGAAGGAGCACCUGUCCCAGUUGGAUUCCCCUGUGGUGUUUUGUCACAAUGACCUGCUCUGCAAGAACAUCAUCUAUGACAGCACCAAAGGCCAUGUACGGUUCAUUGACUAUGAAUACGCCGGCUACAACUACCAAGCUUUUGACAUUGGCAACCAUUUCAAUGAGUUUGCAGGUGUGAAUGAGGUCGAUUACUGCCGGUACCCUGGGCGGGACACCCAGCUGCAGUGGCUGAGCUACUACCUACAGGCUCAAAAGGGGAUGGCCGUGACCCCCAGGGAGGUGGAGAGGCUCUAUGUGCAAGUCAACAAGUUUGCCCUGGCGUCUCACUUCUUCUGGGCACUCUGGGCCCUCAUCCAGAACCAGUUCUCCACCAUCGACUUUGAUUUCCUCAGGUACGCAGUGAUCCGAUUCCACCAGUACUUCAAGGUGAAGCCCCAGGUGUCAGCCUUGGAGAUGCCAAAGUGACCAGCUUCCCCAUCUCUCCCCUACCCAUGCCUGGCAGGACCUGUGCUCCAGGGUUCACUUCUGCUCUGGGGUCCGCGCCCUCGGACAAGGUGGGAGAGGGGACAGAGCCACCUCUGGAGCUGAGGGCAGAAAUAACCACUGUGAAGGCAGCUUCGUUCCCAGCCUCCUGGGGCCUUGAUGUCACAGCGUUGGAGACGGUUUGCAGUGGUGAGCAGGAGCUGGCCGGGACAGGGCCCCCCGGGUACCAUCCUGUGCCCCUACAGCCCUGGCCACCAGCUGCACCAAAGGACUUAAGCUGCAGGUACCAUCUCACUGCCUUGGAGAAAACAUCCUCAUCACUCCAGUUCUCCAGGGGAGUGGGCAGGUGGGGGGAGGGGGGAGCUCAGGACACCCCUCCCCCUCAAAGCCUGGAGUCCUGUCCUUUCACUGCCACCCCAGACUAACCAGCACCCCUGCCCCCUGGUUCCGAGGGCCAGGCUGUGGCAACUCCGGGAGGAGGGCAGGGCUCCACUCCCUCAGACCUUCCUUAGGGUCUAGCAGGAGCUCGGACCCUCGGCCUUUGUAGGAGACAGAGCAGAGGCUCACGCCCCAGCCUCCCUGGUCCUGACCAGCAUCUUCUAUUCCCGGCCUCCCUGCCCCUGUUGUGCCUCUCGGGGAGACAGGGCUCCAACCAGAGGUCUUCGUGGAGGGCUCUGUCCAUCCUAAGAGGAUGUGGGGCAUGUGAAUCCAGCAGCUGGAAAGGAGGGCAGGAUAAGGGAUCCUAUAGUAGGAGGAGGACAGUAUUGGCCUCAGUCUCCCCUAAGGCCACAGAGGACUUGGGAAGAGGGAAGGGAGACGAACUCAGGACUGGCAGGCAGGGUGUGAGGGGGAGCCAGGCUGGGAGUGUCCUGACGGACUGCCCUGAUUUGGUUAGGAACACAGUGUGCGGGGUGGUGUGGCCCGGAGGGUGGGAGGCCAGGACAGAGGAAGUUAAGAUGAUGAGCAAUUCUCCCCCCUGACCGCUAGAGGGUGUCUUUCCCUGGGUGGCCAGCGAGGCUCGAGAGGACAGGGGGUUGUGAGGACAAGGAGAGGAGACCCAAAGCUCCGGGAAGGUAGGCUGGGAAAAACCAGCAAAGGCCAGUAGCCAGGACCCUCCCUAGAUCAAAAGGCCAGGACUUCAUUCCUUGACGGAAUCAACCACAUCUAACUUCUACCACCUCCCUGGUUGUGAACACACAACCUCUCUUAAUCCAACCCAAAUCUAACUUCCAUUGGAAUUGCCCUUCAGCUUUGAUGCUCCAUUCCACCUUAAGGGGAUUAAUUUUUGACCCUAAGAGUUGGUCUGUUUAUCAAUCAUUAUCAAUAUGCACUUUGAAAGUUGGUUAUCAGCCCUUUGAAGUCCAAUGGACUGUCCUCUUAGAUACAUGUUUGAAAUCCUCCUUCAAAACCUGAGGUCACAGAGCCCUGAAGCACAGCACUAGCUCCCUUGCUUCAUUAAUCAGUAUCCUGGGGGCCUCCUACAUGGGAAAAGGCUCAUGUGGAUGGCCCGAGCCCAGGAUGAGGGCCCACAGCUUUCAUGAGAUUUUCAAAGGGCUCCUUCUCCACAAGGGGACAAGAAUUGUGGGUAAAGCUUAGCCUCGGUGUUUUCAGAUGAGCAUGAUGAAGCCCAGAGGAGACACUGGACCCUCUGCCAAGGCCACGUGGCUACUUCUAGAGAGAACCCAAGUUUCCCUGACCCCCUGCAGUGCUCUCGCUACUGCCUUUUUUAGGAUCUGGGUGGGCAAUCUGUGGAGGGUCUGGCUUACCUCCUUGAGGCAGGGGCAGUGUCUUCGCAGUGCAGGCUCUGUGGGUGGUGGCAGUCACUCCAGAGGCUUGGUCUGGUCUUCCCUGGCCUCCCAGGCCCGAAGCUCCCCAGUGUCGCCACAAGGGGGCAGUGGUGGCUGGGCUGGCGGCACAAGUAGAAAUUCUGGACCUGGGCCAGCCUCCCUCCCUCCCCCGCACAAGGGCCAGAUUCUGAAAUGGUCUGUCUUUAUUAUGCCAACAGAAAACAAAAAUAUCCCCCAAGUGUAAACAGGAGAAAUGUGCUGGUUAAGUUACUCAUCAUUAUCUUAUUAUUAACAAAAUAAAGCACUAUCUAUGUUUACAGUCAUAAAAAAAGAAACAGCCUGGAGAGAAGUUGGGCUGGAGGGAAAGGGGGGGGGUAGGGAGAAG